rnacentral:misc_RNA from 1 species
GUGAAUCAUCAAAUUUUUGAACGCAAAUUGCACUCUCUGCGGAGAGUAUGCCUGUUUGAGGUUCAGCCUAUAAAAAAUCGACAUCGUUGCUGUUUCGUGUUUGCGUUCGUCGGAAAUUGGGGCAUUUUAAAUCCUUUUGAUUUAAGCGACUUAAAAUAUUCUUUUGGUUCUAUGAACGUUUCUAAGA